rnacentral:rRNA from 1 species
UACGUAGGGGGCGAGCGUUGUCCGGAUUUAUUGGGCGUAAAGGGUCCGCAGGCGGUUUGGUAAGUUUGACGUGACAGUGCCCGGCUUAACUGGGCAAGUGCGUUGGAAACUGCCAGACUUGAGGGCUUCAGAGGGAUGCGGAAUUCCGGGUGGAGUGGUGAAAUGCGUAGAUAUCCGGAGGAACACCAAAGGCGAAGGCAGCAUCCUGGGAAGUCUCUGACGCUCAGGGACGAAAGCUAGGGGAGCGAACGGG